GGGAUAACUCCGGGAAACCGGGGGCUAAUACCGAAUAAUCUUUUGUCCCUCAUGGGACAAAUACUGAAAGACGGUUUCGGCUGUCGCUAUAGGAUGGGCCCGCGGCGCAUUAGCUAGUUGGUGAGGUAACGGCUCACCAAGGCAACGAUGCGUAGCCGACCUGAGAGGGUGAUCGGCCACACUGGGACUGAGACACGGCCCAGACUCCUACGGGAGGCAGCAGUAGGGAAUCUUCCACAAUGGGCGAAAGCYUGAUGGAGCAACGCCGCGUGAGUGAAGAAGGAUUUCGGUUCGUAAAACUCUGUUGUAAGGGAAGAACAAGUACAGUAGUAACUGGCUGUACCUUGACGGUACCUUAUUAGAAAGCCACGGCUAACUACGUGCCAGCAGCCGCGGUAAUACGUAGGUGGCAAGCGUUGUCCGGAAUUAUUGGGCGUAAAGCGCGCGCAGGUGGUUUCUUAAGUCUGAUGUGAAAGCCCMCGGCUCAACCGUGGAGGGUCAUUGGAAACUGGGAGACUUGAGUGCAGAAGAGGAUAGUGGAAUUCCAAGUGUAGCGGUGAAAUGCGUAGAGAUUUGGAGGAACACCAGUGGCGAAGGCGACUAUCUGGUCUGUAACUGACACUGAGGCGCG
rnacentral:rRNA from 1 species